rnacentral:rRNA from 1 species
AAUGGGUCAGCGACUUAUAUUCUGUAGCAAGGUUAACCGAAUAGGGGAGCCGAAGGGAAACCGAGUCUUAACUGGGCGUUAAGUUGCAGGGUAUAGACCCGAAACCCGGUGAUCUAGCCAUGGGCAGGUUGAAGGUUGGGUAACACUAACUGGAGGACCGAACCGACUAAUGUUGAAAAAUUAGCGGAUGACUUGUGGCUGGGGGUGAAAGGCCAAUCAAACCGGGAGAUAGCUGGUUCUCCCCGAAAGCUAUUUAGGUAGCGCCUCGUGAACUCAUCUCCGGGGGUAGAGCACUGUUUCGGCAAGGGGGUCAUCCCGACUUACCAACCCGAUGCAAACUGCGAAUACCGGAGAAUGUUAUCACGGGAGACACACGGCGGGUGCUAACGUCCGUCGUGAAGAGGGAAACAACCCAGACCGCCAGCUAAGGUCCCAAAGUCAUGGUUAAGUGGGAAACGAUGUGGGAAGGCCCAGACAGCCAGGAUGUUGGCUUAGAAGCAGCCAUCAUUUAAAGAAAGCGUAAUAGCUCACUGGUCGAGUCGGCCUGCGCGGAAGAUGUAACGGGGCUAAACCAUGCACCGAAGCUGCGGCAGCGACGCUUAUGCGUUGUUGGGUA